UUUGUGGGGCCUGUGGGUCGCGGCCAGGGCUCUCUCCCAGCCUGCUCUGCUCCGGCUAAUGGGGCUUGUUUUUUCUUGAAGCCUUUGGAGCUACAAUCGUCAGUGUUAAAAUGAGAUGUUUUGGGGAUAGGUUGCAGCAUGGCAAUGCAUGAAGUGUAAGAACCAGCAAAACCACUGCCAUGGUCCUGUAGCAAUCCAAAGCAGACCUUUGUCAUCAUUUUUUCGCUCAUACAGGUCAGGUGUAAUUACUGUCAUGUUUUCAUCUUCAGUGAUCUCAUUCUGCCUUAGCUGAAAACGGUGAAGAAACUCCCAGGGGCUUUUUGUGCCUCCGUGGGGCUGUGGUAACCGGGUGUUUCUCCAGGCAGGUGCCAGGCCCUGGCGUGCAGCUGAGGGUGUCAGAGCGUUGCUGGAGGCUGUGACCCAGCUGUUAGAUGGCUGCAAAGUCAUCUCUAAAAAGCCAGGUUCCACCUGUUGGAGUCUGGCUUCUUUCCAGAGCAUUUUUACUUGAUAUUCAUAAGGUAACAUGGAAGUUCCUCGCUUGUUCUGUCUGACAUCCAAUCUGAAAGGUUGUAAUGUGUAUAUAGAUCAGCCUCGUCAAUAGUUCAGUUAUAUACGGACAGUUCAAUUUGAGCUUGCCAUUACCUGAGAGCUCUAGUGGAUAUAACGAUAAUCAUAGUUUGGGUGAAAGCAAUGGAGCAGAGAUGUCUUGGGUAGUUUCCUUUUUACUUCUGUUGCAAAUUAUAUAGCAUUUUGUACAGAUAUAGGCUCUUAUCACGUCUAAAGAAGUGUGGGCUUUUUUGAUUGGAAAAUAGAAAUAUUUUCAUGCUUUGGAACAGAACGUAAUCUGAUUAACUGUAAUGCUAUAAUAAAUUGCAUGAAGACCCUCAUUUAAUACUAUGUAGAUUGCCGUUAUGCUGAAACCUGAGGAACUUUAUAUGCUUGAUCAAUUAAUGAAUGUAGUGUUAUAAAAGCAAAACUAAAACUAGUUUGAAUAAGAGGCGGGGAAAAAGCAGAAGCUAACUGUGGCCAAGCAGUUUUCCUCAUUUCAAUACUUCCAGCGAAGUUUGUCAAAACAGAAAGUGCUUUAAAAUGCACUUCAUUUAAUUUCAUAUUCUUUGGGUAUUUAAUGGAGUGUAAGUGGUCAGAGAGAGUCCAUUUUGGUUUGUGAUCUUACCAUAUAAUGUUGCAGCAAGCCAUUUGUUAACUACUGAUGCGUUUCAAUUAUUUAGAACAUCACUUUAGUCCAGAUCUUUCUGAAACAAGUAGUCUUGUUUGGACUGUGAAAUUUUUGCAAGGCCUAGUGAGAUUUGUCUUUGUUCAGUCAGUUCAAGUUGAGUAAGGAUGGAGCAAAGAUGUAAAAACUUGAUCCACAGGACAUAAAUGAAGGAUCUUCUCAACUAAUACACAAAUGUGGCUUUAGAAAUCUGAGAUGUUUCCUGGUACUGAGGCUUCCUUGCUGACUGAUUGUUUUCUGUAAUUCUGCUUUUAAAACUCGGCAGUGCAAAACGUGUGGUAAUGCUCUUACACUUGGAGAUUGUCUUUCAUCAGAAUAGAUUCUAAUGCAGCUCAGAAGGCUUAAUUAACAUAUUUUACAGGCACUGGACUUGAGAUGGGGAUGAAAAUUGGUUCUUACUGAACAGCCUUUAGCAGUGCUCUGUGUCAGCUUCUAGGUAAAUGGUAAGGCAUGCUGGAUUUCAUUGAGAUGACAGGCUAACUAUUGGAAAAUAGAAGGCCGAUCACAAAAAGUGGGAUGUGAAGACGGAUGGGGCAUUGGGACGUGGGCGUUACUGUCAGUGAUCCAUUUUUCUGAAAUGUGCCGUUAGAUAUUUUGUUUUAAACCAAUUUAAGACUGUGUUCUUUCUAAGUUUCAUCUCGAGUAGCUGGAUCAACAGCCCAAUACCUCGCUAACCUAUGGUAAAGCUUUGCUUUGGUACAGGAAAAAUUUGCAGGGGUAAGAGAUGAACUACCAGGGCCUCCUGCAGCUGGAUUUCAUCUUGAAAUUUCCCAUCCAGAAAACCUGCUUUGCCUGGGGCUGCUUAAUUCUCAUCAUAUGACAUGAUUAUGAGUAUGCUUCUGUGCAUGUUGCACAUGACAAGCUGCUGUGCCUGUGUAGAGCUGUAACUGGGUCAGGAAGACUGUCUGCAGAACAGUGAUGUUUGGGGACAGCUGGUGUCCUUAGACCUAAGCCAUCCUGUGUGUGUUUGAUCCAUGCAAGUCUGCAGGCUGAGCCAGCUAGGAUGGCAGUGAAGCUGAAUUUGGGGAGCAGAGUCUUAUUCCUAAUGAACUGAGGACAGCAGGACUUGUCAAGGCCCAGAUACGUCAGUGAUCUGAGAGGGGUGCUCAGACGAGGGAAGAAAGCAUAACGAGAUACAGUGCGCAGUCUGGUAAGUCUCCAUGUGACUCUUUGCUUUGACCCCAACCUAGUUAUUUCUGUAAAGGAACAAGCUUUAUAUGAUCAGGACCAGAGAGACAGAUCUCUUCUAUGCAUAAUUUUUGAAAAAGAAACAAAAAAAAUUAAAACCAGACAACAUAAUUUGCCUUGUGCUGGCACAAUUCUUCUAAGCAGUAUAAAGAAAACAAUCUUUUGUGACCCCAGGAAUAGUUUGUCCUCGUUAAUGAAAUGGCAGAGUGUGGACUGUAGCAGAGGCUGAGCAGUUCUGUUAAGCAUCAUGCUCCCUAGAAAGCAUGAUAUUGUGACAAGUGAGCUCUGCAAAACCCAUACUGUACCCACUCAUCUC